GGAGAGGUGACCGAGUGGUCGAAGGUGCACGACUGGAAAUCGUGUGUACCAGCGAUGGUACCGCGGGUUCGAAUCCCGCCCUCUCCG
rnacentral:tRNA from 1 species